ACUGUUAUCAUCCUAGGAGACAAGAACAGUCGUCCUAUACAUUCCAGGGCCAAAGAACUCAAAAACAACACACUCCAAGUGUAUAUCCUAAACCUAUACAAAUCAGGAACUGCGUCAGAGUACAAAACCUGGAGUUUUAAAUUCCUGAUGGUGUAUUUUCAUGGUAUCAUGACCAACUUUACUUCCUUUGAGAACGUAUUUAAAUCAAUCCGAGGAUCAACAACUUAAGCAUUUAUCAAUACCUAUUGAUUACAGAUAGCUCCACCUAGUGGCCAUUACGAGGCUCCUACAUCUUGUUUUUCCCUACAUCUUGCCAUUUUUACAACUAAGGAUACAAAUAAACAUUUGACUUGUGGCACCUGAAGUGUGCAGGUCUGUUAUUGCAGAAGCCCCUGAUUUCCUAUAAAUCAUCACAACCCUGGCAUGCAGUCUGCGCUCUAACAUAGGAUUGCAACAACUGUGUACAUUGGUUCACAGCUGCUAUAGAUAUCCCAGACUUUUAACGAGGCGGAGAGGAAUGUCAGGAAAGGAACGGUGAACCAGUCAAGUGGAGUCUAAGCAUUUCUACUGGGUUCAUAAACUCCAGACUUCAGAGUAAUGGCCACCAGAACACUAGCAGAUAUGAUGCUGAAUCAGAUGAUGCUAAGUACUGUAAGAGUACUGGUAUAAACCAUUGACAAAAAAUACAGUUGCAGAAUUCAAUGUACCCCGGUGAUAGGAAAAGGAUUCAGUAUUAGAUUAAUAUCUCUCACCAGUAAUAGGUGAUUAAUACAGAACAAUAAAAUGUUAAUUAGUAGAUAAUGUUAAUAUCCAACUACCAAGUCAAAAGAAAUCAGGGUCUCUGAUGAAUAAAGAUUCUAUAUUGUCAUUAUCAUGAAAGUCAUAGACCAGUCUUUCAAAUUGCAUCAUCAGAAAUUCACAAUAUGCUUGUGCAUAAACUAAGCAAACAACAUAGAUCACUCUAAUUAUAAAGAAUGCAGUUACUAGGAUUUGAACCCACAACCCACCUCAUGUGAAUGCUCUACCAAAUGGUCUAGUGUGCAUUCCAAAUACUUUGUACCAAAGAUAUAUUGGUUGAUGCUCCUCUGUAAUCUUUAUUUCUUGAUAUUUCUGCAAUACACAUGGAAGAUGGACAUUCAUUACAAGCAAACAAGGAGUUGCAAAAACUAUAACAAUUCAACUAUCUGUGUUUUAACCGAUCGUAUGUACUCAAACAUUGUUCAUGAUUUAUAAACAACCUUAAGACACAUUUCUGUAAGAAAUCAAUAGUGCCAGUAAAUAGUCUGGAAGAUUAAUACAAUAGAGCAAUGUUAUUAAAUUGCGACAGCCUUGUCUGAUUGUAGAAAUUUCAUCAUGCACUGAAAAUUAUCAAUACUGGAACAUAAUUCAAGGCAGUCUGGAACUAAUAGUUACCAGUUGGUGGUUUGCUCUGAAUGCAUCACUGAUAUGUAUAGAAAAAAAUCAUU
rnacentral:sRNA from 1 species